ACGUUUGUCCAACUUCCCAGUCAUUAAACUAAAUCAUGUCCAACUUUAAGUGUGAUGGAUGGUUCUUUUUCAUUUCUAUUGUUUUGAAGAUAUAGUCCUGCUUUUUCAAAGA